ACCAAAGUAUCAGAAGAAGAAAAAAAUGGCCAAAGUUGGUUUAUAUUAUAAAUAAAAGGAAAGAAAUAAAACAAAAUAGAAACUUCUGGGAUGAAUUUGGGAUGAUUAGAACAUACAAGCAAUUGGGAAGUAACUGAGAGAAUGGAAACAAACUCUCAACUUCUGAAUGAUUUGUUCUGAAGAUUAAAAAUAAUCUUACAGGUUCAUGUAGGAUAAAAAUUUUAUUUUUUAUUAGCUUCAUAAAACUCGUCUUUAAUCUUUAAACAUGAAAUGACUCUUCCAUGGAUUACAAAACUAAUAAUAAAUAACCACCAUAGUUUAAACACUGCAUGGGCUGAGACGGGCUGAUAUUAAAAAUCCCUCUGUUUCCAACACUUCAAGUUCAGCUGCCGAAGCCAGUUUUGAAGCAUAACCAACUCGGGAAAUGACAAGAACAUACAGUUCACACAAAAGCUAGAUGGAUCAAAGAAUUUUCAUAACUUUAAUAACUCAACAAACGGCUAGACUUACUACACUUGAGAUGAGAGUCCCGCGGCCCAGGCAAAGUAUUGACUGGGCAACUCAUGCUGAAUUUGAGAUGAGAAGAGGGCAUACAGAGGCUUGCCUUUUUUAUCAGUUUGCUGCAUCACGACUGUAGUACUGGUCCAGUGUCUUUGCAGGUAUACGGUGGAGAAGCUCACGGGGGAAGAUGCGGAGUAAUGUCCACGCCAAAUCUAGUGACUGGAAGAUGUUGCGGGUAUCAUAAGCCCCUUGAGCCACAAAUUUCCUCUCGAAUUUGUCUAGGAACUCCAGAUAAAGC